CGAGACUUGCAGAGAUGCUUUGGUGCCUUCGGGAACUCUGAGACAGGUGCUGCAUGGCUGUCGUCAGCUCGUGUUGUGAAAUGUUGGGUUAAGUCCCGCAACGAGCGCAACCCUUAUCCUUUGUUGCCAGCGGUUCGGCCGGGAACUCAAAGGAGACUGCCAGUGAUAAACUGGAGGAAGGUGGGGAUGACGUCAAGUCAUCAUGGCCCUUACGAGUAGGGCUACACACGUGCUACAAUGGCAUAUACAAAGAGAAGCGACCUCGCGAGAGCAAGCGGACCUCAUAAAGUAUGUCGUAGUCCGGAUCGGAGUCUGCAACUCGACUCCGUGAAGUCGGAAUCGCUAGUAAUCGUGGAUCAGAAUGCCACGGUGAAUACGUUCCCGGGUCUUGGCCCACCGAA
rnacentral:rRNA from 1 species